GACGAACGCUGGCGGCGUGCCUAACACAUGCAAGUCGUGCGAGAAAGUUCCUUCGGGAGCGAGUAAAGCGGCGCACGGGUGAGUAACACGUAGGUAACCUGCCCCCCAGUCUGGAACAACUAGAGGAAACUCUAGCUAAUGCCGGAUGAGACCACGAUCCCUUCGGGGGUUGCGGCCAAAGAUGGCCUCUACUUGUAAGCUAUCGCUGAGGGAUGGGCCUGCGGGCCAUUUAGCUUUGUUUGGUGAGGUAACGGCUCACCAAGGCUGUGAUGGCUAGCUGGUCUGAGAGGAUGACCAGCCACACUGGGACUGAGACACGGCCCAGACUCCUAC
rnacentral:rRNA from 1 species